CCCUUAGAUGUUCUGGGCCGCACGCGUGCUACACUGAGUGGAUCAGCGGGUCAGGUUGCGCGAAAGCGUUUCCUAAUCUUUAAAUCCGCUCGUGAUGGGGAUUGACGGUUGCAAUUUUCUGUCAUGAACGAGGAAUACCUUGUAAGCGCGGGUCAUCAUCCCGCGCUGAAUACGUCCCUGCCCUUUGUACACACCGCCCGUCGCUCCUACCGAUUGAGUGGUCCGGUGAGGCUUUGGGAUCUGAGCGGAAAGAGCGUUUCGCUGUUUCUGCUCGGAAAACCCAGUCGAGCCUUAUCAUUUAGAGGAAGGAGAAGUCGUAACA
rnacentral:rRNA from 1 species